GGUUAAGCGACUAAGCGUACACGGUGGAUGCCCUGGCAGUCAGAGGCGAUGAAGGACGUGCUAAUCUGCGAUAAGCGUCGGUAAGGUGAUAUGAACCGUUAUAACCGGCGAUUUCCGAAUGGGGAAACCCAGUGUGUUUCGACACACUAUCAUUAACUGAAUCCAUAGGUUAAUGAGGCGAACCGGGGGAACUGAAACAUCUAAGUACCCCGAGGAAAAGAAAUCAACCGAGAUUCCCCCAGUAGCGGCGAGCGAACGGGGAGCAGCCCAGAGCCUGAAUCAGUGUGUGUGUUAGUGGAAGCGUCUGGAAAGGCGCGCGAUACAGGGUGACAGCCCCGUACACAAAAAUGCACAUGCUGUGAGCUCGAUGAGUAGGGCGGGACACGUGGUAUCCUGUCUGAAUAUGGGGGGACCAUCCUCCAAGGCUAAAUACUCCUGACUGACCGAUAGUGAACCAGUACCGUGAGGGAAAGGCGAAAAGAACCCCGGCGAGGGGAGUGAAAAAGAACCUGAAACCGUGUACGUACAAGCAGUGGGAGCACGCUUCGGCGUGUGACUGCGUACCUUUUGUAUAAUGGGUCAGCGACUUAUAUUCUGUAGCAAGGUUAACCGAAUAGGGGAGCCGAAGGGAAACCGAGUCUUAACUGGGCGUUAAGUUGCAGGGUAUAGACCCGAAACCCGGUGAUCUAGCCAUGGGCAGGUUGAAGGUUGGGUAACACUAACUGGAGGACCGAACCGACUAAUGUUGAAAAAUUAGCGGAUGACUUGUGGCUGGGGGUGAAAGGCCAAUCAAACCGGGAGAUAGCUGGUUCUCCCCGAAAGCUAUUUAGGUAGCGCCUCGUGAAUUCAUCUCCGGGGGUAGAGCACUGUUUCGGCAAGGGGGUCAUCCCGACUUACCAACCCGAUGCAAACUGCGAAUACCGGAGAAUGUUAUCACGGGAGACACACGGCGGGUGCUAACGUCCGUCGUGAAGAGGGAAACAACCCAGACCGCCAGCUAAGGUCCCAAAGUCAUGGUUAAGUGGGAAACGAUGUGGGAAGGCCCAGACAGCCAGGAUGUUGGCUUAGAAGCAGCCAUCAUUUAAAGAAAGCGUAAUAGCUCACUGGUCGAGUCGGCCUGCGCGGAAGAUGUAACGGGGCUAAACCAUGCACCGAAGCUGCGGCAGCGACGCUGAUGCGUUGUUGGGUAGGGGAGCGUUCUGUAAGCCUGCGAAGGUGUGCUGUGAGGCAUGCUGGAGGUAUCAGAAGUGCGAAUGCUGACAUAAGUAACGAUAAAGCGGGUGAAAAGCCCGCUCGCCGGAAGACCAAGGGUUCCUGUCCAACGUUAAUCGGGGCAGGGUGAGUCGACCCCUAAGGCGAGGCCGAAAGGCGUAGUCGAUGGGAAACAGGUUAAUAUUCCUGUACUUGGUGUUACUGCGAAGGGGGGACGGAGAAGGCUAUGUUGGCCGGGCGACGGUUGUCCCGGUUUAAGCGUGUAGGCUGGUUUUCCAGGCAAAUCCGGAAAAUCAAGGCUGAGGCGUGAUGACGAGGCACUACGGUGCUGAAGCAACAAAUGCCCUGCUUCCAGGAAAAGCCUCUAAGCAUCAGGUAACAUCAAAUCGUACCCCAAACCGACACAGGUGGUCAGGUAGAGAAUACCAAGGCGCUUGAGAGAACUCGGGUGAAGGAACUAGGCAAAAUGGUGCCGUAACUUCGGGAGAAGGCACGCUGAUAUGUAGGUGAAGUCCCUUGCGGAUGGAGCUGAAAUCAGUCGAAGAUACCAGCUGGCUGCAACUGUUUAUUAAAAACACAGCACUGUGCAAACACGAAAGUGGACGUAUACGGUGUGACGCCUGCCCGGUGCCGGAAGGUUAAUUGAUGGGGUCAGCGCAAGCGAAGCUCUUGAUCGAAGCCCCGGUAAACGGCGGCCGUAACUAUAACGGUCCUAAGGUAGCGAAAUUCCUUGUCGGGUAAGUUCCGACCUGCACGAAUGGCGUAAUGAUGGCCAGGCUGUCUCCACCCGAGACUCAGUGAAAUUGAACUCGCUGUGAAGAUGCAGUGUACCCGCGGCAAGACGGAAAGACCCCGUGAACCUUUACUAUAGCUUGACACUGAACAUUGAGCCUUGAUGUGUAGGAUAGGUGGGAGGCUUAGAAGUGUGGACGCCAGUCUGCAUGGAGCCGACCUUGAAAUACCACCCUUUAAUGUUUGAUGUUCUAACGUUGACCCGUAAUCCGGGUUGCGGACAGUGUCUGGUGGGUAGUUUGACUGGGGCGGUCUCCUCCUAAAGAGUAACGGAGGAGCACGAAGGUUGGCUAAUCCUGGUCGGACAUCAGGAGGUUAGUGCAAUGGCAUAAGCCAGCUUGACUGCGAGCGUGACGGCGCGAGCAGGUGCGAAAGCAGGUCAUAGUGAUCCGGUGGUUCUGAAUGGAAGGGCCAUCGCUCAACGGAUAAAAGGUACUCCGGGGAUAACAGGCUGAUACCGCCCAAGAGUUCAUAUCGACGGCGGUGUUUGGCACCUCGAUGUCGGCUCAUCACAUCCUGGGGCUGAAGUAGGUCCCAAGGGUAUGGCUGUUCGCCAUUUAAAGUGGUACGCGAGCUGGGUUUAGAACGUCGUGAGACAGUUCGGUCCCUAUCUGCCGUGGGCGCUGGAGAACUGAGGGGGGCUGCUCCUAGUACGAGAGGACCGGAGUGGACGCAUCACUGGUGUUCGGGUUGUCAUGCCAAUGGCACUGCCCGGUAGCUAAAUGCGGAAGAGAUAAGUGCUGAAAGCAUCUAAGCACGAAACUUGCCCCGAGAUGAGUUCUCCCUGACUCCUUGAGAGUCCUGAAGGAACGUUGAAGACGACGACGUUGAUAGGCCGGGUGUGUAAGCGCAGCGAUGCGUUGAGCUAACCGGUACUAAUGAACCGUGAGGCUUAACCUU
rnacentral:rRNA from 1 species